GGCAUCGUUAGUGUAGUGGUAGCACGCGCCUCCGCUAUGGGUGAGCGCGACUUCGACUCUCGUCUGACGUCG